rnacentral:rRNA from 1 species
AACGAACGCUGGCGGCAUGCCUAACACAUGCAAGUCGAACGAGACCUUCGGGUCCAUUGGCGUCUGGGUGCGUCACGCGUCGGAACCUGCCCUCAGGUUCGGCCUACCUCUCCGACAGGGGUGCUAAUACCGGAUAAUGUCUUCGGACGGAGGAUUUAUCGCCUUUGAUUGUGCCGGCGUUGAAUUAGCUAGUUGGUAGGGUUAUAGCCUACGACGGCGCCCAUCCAUAGCUGGUCAGAGAGGAAGAUCAGCCACACUGGGACUGGGACACGGCCCGGACUCCUACGGGAGGCAGGAGUGGGGGAUAGUGGACAGUGGGCGAAAGCAUGAUCGAGCAAUGACGCGUGAGUGAUGAAGGCAUUAGGGUUGUAAAGCGUUUUUAACCGGGAUGAUAAUGACAGUACCGGGAGAAAAAGCCCCGGCUAACUCCGUG